AAGCUCCAGCCGAACUGUCCCCUCAGGGGGUGCGUUCCCGCAAGGGAUAGGCUGGGGCUCUUUC
rnacentral:sRNA from 12 species